UACAGAGGGUGCAAGCGUUAAUCGGAAUUACUGGGCGUAAAGGGCGCGUAGGUUGCUUUGUAAGUUAGAUGUGAAAUAUCCGGGCUUAACCUGGAAAGGCCAUCUAAUACUGCAAAGCUAGAGUAUAGUAGAGGGAAGGGGAAUUUCCGGUGUAGCGGUGAAAUGCGUAGAUAUCGGAAGGAACAUCAGUGGCGAAGGCGCCUUCCUGGACUAAUACUGACACUGAGGCGCGACAGCGUGGGGAGCAAACAGG
rnacentral:rRNA from 2 species